GGUGGGUUGGCUCUGUGGUUAGAGCGUAGGUCCCAUAACCGAAAGGUCGCGCCGGGAUCGAAUCCCGCUAGAGGCUG
rnacentral:tRNA from 1 species